rnacentral:rRNA from 1 species
GUGAGGAAUAUUGGUCAAUGGGCGGAAGCCUGAACCAGCCAUCCCGCGUGGAGGAAGACGGCCCUAUGGGUUGUAAACUUCUUUUCAAGGGGAAGAAAGUUCGCGACGUGUCGCGAUUUGCCGGUACCUUUGGAAUAAGCAUCGGCUAACUCCGUGCCAGCAGCCGCGGUAAUACGGAGGAUGCGAGCGUUAUCCGGAUUUAUUGGGUUUAAAGGGUGCGUAGGCCGAACGAUAAGUCAGCGGUGAAAUACCAUGGCCCAACCAUGGAACUGCAGUUGAUACUGUCGGUCUUGAAUAUGGUCAAGGUAGGCGGAAUGUGUAAUGUAGCGGUGAAAUGCUUAGAUAUUACACAGAACACCGAUUGCGAAGGCAGCUUACUGGUCCAUUAUUGACGCUGAGGCACGAAAGCGUGGGGAUCGAACAGGAUUAGAAACCCGGGUAGUCC